CUGGGAACGAUUCAUGUUUGCUAUGAGUCUUGAUAAGUUGGAGAAGAGCCCAAGAGAAAUUUUUCAUCCCUUGAUAUAAAAGGAUUUAUUGGUUCUGGAAGAACAAGAGGGAAGUACAAGCCUAACUACUUCUAGCUCACAGGCCCGUCCAGUGAACCCAGGGAUCGGUGAAUUUUAACUUUGGAGUCCACUAUGCUAAGGAUGCUCAGCUUACAGGUGAUGAAAUGUUCAGUAAUGUAUUUGCUGCAGCUCUGCUUACCCAAGCUUUGGGUUCCUUCUGUCCCACUGGGAGUUGCCCAGUUUGGUUGCAUCUGGUGAAAUUCACCCUGAGACCUUACAGAACUAGCUCCAACUACGUGAGAGCCAUUUGCAGUUCUCUCCAGACACCUGGAGAAUGGGUGACGUUUCUGAGGAUCCGGCGAGCGUGCUUCUAUCAAAACUCAGUCUGUGAAAUUCCUGGGGAAAACCCUUCUGUGUCCUGAAGGGUUCAAACUCUGGCGAGGAUCCCGUUAUCAGGUGCUCACCUGGAUGGUUCCAGCUGCCAAAGGGAAAGACUCUCGUAUCCUUGUCGUCGGGCUCGGUGCUGUCCAAGAAGAUACGGGGACUAAAAAAAUCAUAAGAAGCAAAAUAUGACUGCAGGGAAAAGAAGCUGGAGAGAACAGAAGACUCAUCACGGCGGGACAGCGUGAAGACUGAAAGUGUAAGAAGAUGUGGAGGGAAAGAGAGAAUCUGACAGGAGCAGCGAACGCACGAGUGCACGAAUUUUGCUUUUUGCUUGGAUGUAAACUCAGGAGUUGAAAGGAAUUUGGGAGUGAGAAGGGACAUUUCAGAAGGAGAAGAAGAAAAAGAAGUUGUUGCUACAGUCCUGGCAAAAGCUUUUGUUCUAGCUAAUAAAAGAAGUUAGUUUAAAAAACAAAAAGGAAAAAAUGUAGUGUUUUUUUUUUCCUUCACUAUGAUAUUCAUUGGUGGUAUAUGGUGUGUUGUUUUAUUUCUUGGUAUUAUUAACUCUGUGUAAAUUGUUUUUUGAGUGAAGCUGACUUUCUGGAUGGGUUGGUUUGUAUUUGAGGCAGGAUUAAUUUCAGUAGGGUUCUUUCAUAGAUUUCUGAUGGGUAUUACUGGGAUUUUGGUUUUGUUUACUGUAUGUAUGAACCUAGAGCUUUGGUAGGGCCAGCUGGGCUGCUGGAGUUUUGGGUGUGAAUUUAUUAGAUGGCUUUUGUUAGAUGCAGUUUUUAAUUUUUGAAAUGUUUUUCAAUGUAGUGGUUUUAAGGUGGUUUUUAAGAAUUCAUUGUAUUGCUUUAUCUUGUUUGUAGUUGGUGUAUGAUAAGGGAUGUGGUGUGAGUUCUUGAACAUUAUGGUUUUGGUGUUCCUAAGUUCUGAUUUCUUUGUGGUUCAAUAUUUUUUUUUAUUUUUAUUUUUUGGGACAGGGGCAUUUAUAUGGUGGGUUUUUAUAGGCAAUAUGUUUUUUAAUUUAGGUAG